rnacentral:rRNA from 1 species
ACGAACGCUGGCGGCGUGCUUAACACAUGCACGUCGAACGGAAAGGCCCUGCUUGCAGGGUACUCGAGUGGCGAACGGGUGAGUAACACGUGGGUGAUCUGCCCUGCACUUCGGGAUAAGCCUGGGAAACUGGGUCUAAUACCGGAUAGGAGCCAUUUUUAGUGUGAUGGUUGGAAAGUUUUUUCGGUGUAGGAUGAGCUCGCGGCCUAUCAGCUUGUUGGUGGGGUAAUGGCCUACCAAGGCGGCGACGGGUAGCCGGCCUGAGAGGGUGGACGGCCACAGUGGGACUGAGAUACGGCCCAGACUCCUACGGGAGGCAGCAGUGGGGAAUAUUGCACAAUGGGCGCAAGCCUGAUGCAGCGACGCCGCGGGGGGGAGGACGGCCUUCGGGUUGUAAACUCCUUUCGCUAGGGACGAAGCUUUUUGUGACGGUACCUAGAUAAGAAGCACCGGCUAACUACGUG